AACGAACGCUGGCGGCAUGCCUAACACAUGCAAGUCGAACGAGACCUUCGGGUCUAGUGGCGCACGGGUGCGUAACGCGUGGGAAUCUGCCCUUGGGUUCGGAAUAACAGUUAGAAAUGACUGCUAAUACCGGAUAAUGUCUUCGGACCAAAGAUUUAUCGCCCAGGGAUGAGCCCGCGUAGGAUUAGCUAGUUGGUGAGGUAAAGGCUCACCAAGGCGACGAUCCUUAGCUGGUCUGAGAGGAUGAUCAGCCACACUGGGACUGAGACACGGCCCAGACUCCUACGGGAGGCAGCAGUGGGGAAUAUUGGACAAUGGGCGAAAGCCUGAUCCAGCAAUGCCGCGUGAGUGAUGAAGGCCUUAGGGUUGUAAAGCUCUUUACCCGGGAUGAUAAUGACAGUACCGGGAGAAUAAGCCCCGGCUAACUCCGUGCCAGCAGCCGCGGUAAU
rnacentral:rRNA from 1 species